rnacentral:rRNA from 1 species
CAGAUUGAACGCUGGCGGCAGGCUUAACACAUGCAAGUCGAGCGGGGUGAUGGUGCUUGCACUAUCACUUAGCGGCGGACGGGUGAGUAAUGCUUAGGAAUCUGCCUAUUAGUGGGGGACAACAUUUCGAAAGGAAUGCUAAUACCGCAUACGUCCUACGGGAGAAAGCAGGGGAUCUUCGGACCUUGCGCUAAUAGAUGAGCCUAAGUCGGAUUAGCUAGUUGGUGGGGUAAAGGCCUACCAAGGCGACGAUCUGUAGCGGGUCUGAGAGGAUGAUCCGCCACACUGGGACUGAGACACGGCCCAGACUCCUACGGGAGGCAGCAGUGGGGAAUAUUGGACAAUGGGCGCAAGCCUGAUCCAGCCAUGCCGCGUGUGUGAAGAAGGCCUUAUGGUUGUAAAGCACUUUAAGCGAGGAGGAGGCUACUUUAGUUAAUACCUAGAGAUAGUGGACGUUACUCGCAGAAUAAGCACCGGCUAACUCUGUGCCAGCAGCCGCGGUAAUACAGAGGGUGCAAGCGUUAAUCGGAUUUACUGGGCGUAAAGCGCGCGUAGGCGGCUAAUUAAGUCAAAUGUGAAAUCCCCGAGCUUAACUUGGGAAUUGCAUUCGAUACUGGUUAGCUAGAGUGUGGGAGAGGAUGGUAGAAUUCCAGGUGUAGCGGUGAAAUGCGUAGAGAUCUGGAGGAAUACCGAUGGCGAAGGCAGCCAUCUGGCCUAACACUGACGCUGAGGUGCGAAAGCAUGGGGAGCAAACAGGAUUAGAUACCCUGGUAGUCCAUGCCGUAAACGAUGUCUA